CUUUGUGUUUCCAGGAUCUUGACGAGGCCAUUAAUAGACCUGGAAGGAGGAGAGCAACAGAACCAUGGGAGAAGGAUUUCAUAGAGAAGUGUUAACAUCGACAUGUGUGGGUGGUAUGCUCAAAAGGUCCAGCCAUUUUGUGUGGUAGGAAAACACAAACAGAGAACACAGGCAGAGAAGACGGCCACGGACACUUGUGAGCAUUCCGGCAUGCUCAAAUAAUCUCCAACAUGUCUCAGUAACAGCAGCUGAGCAGAGAGAGAGAGAGCCUUGGACUGUGACUUGACUUUUCUGUUAAAAUUAGGAACAUCCAGACAUAUGGUGGAUUAAAGAUAAAUAGCGUCUAACACUUUUACCACUUUACCUGAUGAACCAAACUCAUGUGCUGGAGAGGUGGUAAAGGUACUGUAGAAUAGCUUGGUGGCUAAGACAGUUCAGAUCCCAGCUCUUUUACUGCUGGUCCCUUAUGCAAGACCCUUAAGCCUCAACUGAUCAGUUGUAUAAAUGUAAGCUACUCUGAGCGGCAUCUACCAACGUAUAAUCAAUUACAUAUAGUAUUGAAGUAUUAUAUACUCUCUGAUAUCCUUCUUCUUGUUUGAAUCAGCUCUAAAACACCUCUCAAGUUAUGAAAGAUAGUAUGGUGAUGCAUUUUCAAAGAUAUCAGUCUAGCAGUAUGGACUAGAUAAAGCAAACAAAAUUGCCCAAAUUACUAACAACUUCAUACACUGUGGGUCAGGUGUAUGUUAAAAUAAUGACUGACAAGAUGCUGUGAAAAACAGGAGUUCAGGUUACACCCAUUUUCAGUUACUCAACUUAUACAGCACUGGCAACAAUAAUUCACUUUUUAUCUAUGUAUUUAUGUUCGUGUUCAAAUUGUAGCAUCCACAAUACUAGAGACAUCCCUGUGAAUAAGAUGCUACAAUAUUAAUGAUAGGGAAUUUCUUACAUUCGUAACUAAUAAAUUUUUUUCUAACUUGA